rnacentral:lncRNA from 1 species
GAAUUCAAGUCCACGUCCAAUUUGAUAUUAGAGCUUGUUUUGUGAUAUUACAAGUUGAAAUGCUAAUUCUCUCCAUAGCUCUCAAAAUAAAAUUAAACAUUAAAAAUGUUUACUGGUAAGUUCAGGAGGCAUUGAGAACACUGCUUUUGAAAGUCUAGCUUUUAAUUAUUAAAAAACAUUCGCAAAAUGGUCAAUUAUUUACUAUGUAAUGAAAACAGACCCUGCUUCAGAAAACUGUAAAAUUAUUGGUAAAUUGUGUGUGUGUGUGCGUGCACGUGCAUUGGUGUUUUGCCUGGAUGUAUGUCUGUAUGAGGGUGCCAGAUCCUCUGGAACUGGAGUUACAGACUGUUGUGAGCUGCCACAUGGGUGUUGGGAAUUGAACAAGGGUCCUCUGGAAGAGCAACCAGUAGUCUGAAACACUGAGCCAUCUCUCUAGGCCCCAGGAAAGUUGUCUUAAUACCUGAAAGACUCAUUUUACAAUCCUGCUCCUUAGGAAGGGGAUACUUGCAGGACCUGUCUUCCUCCCUUGUGGAAAUGGUCUUAAUUUACCAGUGUUGACUUCACUUAUGGUCUCUCUACAGGUUUACAAGUCAGAGAUCAUCAGAAUUUCUCCAAAUGCUUGUUUUUAUAGAUUUUGAAAUGGGAAUGAUACAUUUCCUUGAGGUUUUGAUGAUUCAUUCAUAAGAAACACCAUAAGGGGAGACAUUAAUUCUGAAAUAAAAAUGAGAUUGCUUUGGAGAAAGAAAGACCUGAAAGAUAUGGUUCAUGCUGUUGGGUUUGGAACGAUAGCUAUAAUGAGAGACCAGAAACAAAGGCAGAACUCAGUGACCACAGCCUAAUGCAGUUUGGAAGACCUGGGUAUGUUCAAUCUACCUUUCUGUGUCUACUGACUCUGUGUGAAUAUGAAUUUCUCCAAAUCUACUGACUGUGUGUGAAUUUGAAUUUCUCCGAAUGUCACGGUUUCUUAAAGCUAGUUAGCGACGUUUUCCUUUAAAUCAAAUCAUGUAUUUAUAUCAUUUAAAGUACCAAAAUUUUAGAAUUCUUUGUUUACACACACACACACACACACACACACACACACACACACACACACACAUAUUAUGGCAAAAUCCUAUUUUAUCAGGCCAGAAGUUCACUUAGUACAGUGUUUACAUUGCAAGCAAAGAACCUGGCUCUAAUUUGCAGAACUCCAAGUUAAAACAAAACAAC